rnacentral:rRNA from 1 species
GAUGCAUAGCCGAGUUGAGAGACUGAUCGGCCACAAUGGAACUGAGACACGGUCCAUACUCCUACGGGAGGCAGCAGUAGGGAAUCUUCCACAAUGGGCGCAAGCCUGAUGGAGCAACACCGCGUGAGUGAAGAAGGGUUUCGGCUCGUAAAGCUCUGUUGUUGGAGAAGAACGUGCGUGAGAGUAACUGUUCACGCAGUGACGGUAUCCAACCAGAAAGUCACGGCUAACUACGUGCCAGCAGCCGCGGUAAUACGUAGGUGGCAAGCGUUAUCCGGAUUUAUUGGGCGUAAAGCGAGCGCAGGCGGUUGCUUAGGUCUGAUGUGAAAGCCUUCGGCUUAACCGAAGAAGUGCAUCGGAAACCGGGCGACUUGAGUGCAGAAGAGGACAGUGGAACUCCAUGUGUAGCGGUGGAAUGCGUAGAUAUAUGGAAGAACACCAGUGGCGAAGGCGGCUGUCUGGUCUG